rnacentral:rRNA from 1 species
AUGUAAUUCCUAUUGCUUUAAUGCAUCGGAUCCCAUUAGAACUUCACAUUUAAGCACUCUUUGACUAGAUUAGUACCGGGAUGCAUGACCUCCCAGAAAGUCGUAGUGUUUUACAUG